GUUUAGCCAGGGAGAACAUGGCUUGUGAUGUAGAUGAGGUGCUGUUUAGCCAGGGAGAACAUGGCUUGUGAUGUGGAUGAGGUGCUGUUUAGCCAGGGAGAACAUGGCUUGUGAUGUAGAUGAGGUGCUGUUUAGCCAGGGAGAACAUGGCUUGUGAUGUGGAUGAGGUGCUGUUUAGCCAGGGAGAACAUGGCUUGUGAUGUAGAUGAGGUGCUGUGGCCAGGGAGAACAUGGCUUGUGAUGUAGAUGAGGUGCUGUGGCCAGGGAGAACAUGGCUUGUGAUGUAGAUGAGGUGCUGUUUAGCCAGGGAGAACAUGGCUUGUGAUGUAGAUGAGGUGCUGUGGCCAGGGAGAACAUGGCCUGUGAUGUAGAUGAGGUGCUGUUUAGCCAGGGAGAACAUGGCUUGUGAUGUAGAUGAGGUGCUGUUUAGCCAGGGAGAACAUGGCUUGUGAUGUAGAUGAGGUGCUGUUUAGCCAGGGAGAACAUGGCUUGUGAUGUAGAUGAGGUGCUGUUUAGCCAGGGAGAACAUGGCUUGUGAUGUAGAUGAGGUGCUGUUCAGCCAGGGAGAACAUGGCUUGUGAUGUAGAUGAGGUACUGUUCAGCCAGGGAGAACAUGGCUUGUGAUGUAGAUGAGGUGCUGUGGCCAGGGAGAACAUGGCUUGUGAUGUAGAUGAGGUGCUGUGGCCAGGGAGA